CACCAGAGGGCGCAAUAAGACCU
rnacentral:tRNA from 1 species